CCCCUGAAUUUUGUUUUUAAACACAACAUUGUGAGGAGAAAAGCCUGAAAAGAAAGUCAUGGCAAAGGAAAUGGAGACUGACCUCACUGGAACACCUGGACCCAGCCAUCCCUGAAGCCGUUCGUUAUAUUUGGGAGAAGAAGUCACUGGGUCCAGGCCACACUCAAGGGGAGAGGACACGCGCGGGCCUGGAGCAGUGGAGCAGACUCCAGAGCAGUGGAGUACGGCAUCAUGGCAUCACGGAGGCCAUCUUGAAAGUCUGACUACCUUGGGCAAAGGUGGGGGGAAAUGCUUUCUGCCUGCAGGCCCUUUGCACAGGCUGCUUUCUUUGCCUAAAAUGCUCCCUCCAUCCCUGUCCCUUUCAUUUGUUGGGUUCCAGUGUAAGGUCACUUCCUUAGAAAGGCCUUCCUGGGACCCCAAAUAUUGGAGUCUCUCUGUCAUCUGCAAACAUAUGCCUUCUCUGUGGCACUUAUUACAAUGACGGGCACGAGUGACAGAGCAGCUAGUAUUUAUGUCCUCCUGAUCCUGUGCCAGGUGCUCAGGGCUGUACAUGUGCGCACUCACUUGAUUCUUCUGACAGUGCCCUUAGAUAGGGCUGGUCGUCACCUACAUUUUACAGGGGGAGAGACUGAGGCUCAGAGAGACUGUGUAACACUGCUGAAAGCCACUCGCUGGUCAAGGGCCCAGCCAGGCGGUCUUUCCCCAGAGCCUGUGCACUUAGGCCUCUGCCACACAGCCUCCCCCAGCAGCUAGUGCACUGUGUGAGUUUUUGUUGUUGUUGCUUAAUCUCUGAUGUCCCACUAGGCCGUGGGCUGUGUCUGCUGUGCUCCCUGUCCUAGCUCUGGCACCUGGCACAGUGCCCAGCUCGUGGUGGGUGCUUAAUAAUGCAAAGCAAUGGAGAAGAUGGAGUGUGGCCAGAAGCCAGUAAGAAGGCUCCUUGAAGAGCGAGACCUGCCUGGUGCAGAGUCCACUUUGAAAGCCUGCAUUCAGUGGGGAAGCUAAACACCCUCUGGCAUCCUUCCUUUCUUAGUAACCUGACCUCAACCUCCCUUUUCUGUCCCCAAGCACUUCCACCCUAGGAUCCUAGGGCGUCCCACACCCUCUUCUAAACACAUGUGACACUCCCACUCCACAUUUUUGCUCCCUCCUUCCAUCCCUAAAAACCGACUGCAGAUGCCUCCUCCUCUGAGGAGUCUUCCCUGAUCUCCCAACCUGGUGGAGUCUCUCCCUUCUUAAAGCCACCAGAGCCUCUGCUUGUACUUCCUCACCCACCCUGGGCCUCAGCCUCCUGAACUCUAAAAUGAGGAGAGCCUGGGUGCCAUGGUCUUCAAGUUUCUUCCAGCUUCUAAAGCAUCCGGGAUUAAGGAGGGCAGGUGAUAUAAUGAGCACUGCGAAUUAUAUAAGACGGAUGCAUCACUGAC